CCUACGGGGGGCAGCAGUGGGGGAUAUUGGACAAUGGGGGAAACGCUGAUCCAGCGACGCCGCGUGAGUGACGAAGUAUUUCGGGAUGUAAAGCUCUAUCAGCAGGGAAGAAAGAAAUGACGGUACCUGAGUAAGAAGCCCCGGCUAACUACGUGCCAGCAGACGCGGUAAUACGUAGGGGGCAAGCUUUAUCCGGAAUUACUGGGUGUAAAGGGAGCGUAGACGGAAAUGCAAGUCUGGAGUGAAAGGCGGGGGCCCACCCCCCGGACUGCUCUGGAAACUGUGUAACUGGAGUGCAGGAGAGGCAGGCGGAAUGCCUAGUGUAGCGGUGAAAUGCGUAGAUAUUAGGAGGAACACCAGUUGCGAAGGCAGCCUGCUGGACUGUAACUGACGUUGAGGCUCGAAAGCGUGGGGAGCAAACAGGAUUAGAUACCCCUGUAGUC
rnacentral:rRNA from 1 species